ACCGUGCAAAGGUAGCAUAAUCACUUGCCUAUUAAUUGUAGGCUAGAAUGAAAGGACAAACGAGAAUACACCUGUCUCCUUUAAGCCCUUAAAAAUUUAUCUUUAAGUGAAGAAGCUUAAAUUCAUAUGCAGGACAAGAAGACCCUAUAGAGCUUUACCUAAAAUCUACAUAGAUAGUAGCUAGCGGUUCGGUUGGGGCGACCGGGGGACAUUCAUCACCCCCCAAACUAAAAGAUAUACCUAUCUCACCAAAGAUCCUUACUCAAGAUCAAAGAAUCAAGCUACCUUAGGGAUAACAGGCUAAUCCUCUUAGAGAGCCCUUAUCGACAAGAGGGG
rnacentral:rRNA from 1 species